rnacentral:snRNA from 1 species
UCGUAACAAAUUUGUUCUCAGCU